rnacentral:lncRNA from 1 species
CUUUAGCACACACUGUCCUCUACAUUUCAACCCUUUAUUUGCUUCUUCAUCAGGCUUGUUCAUAGGGUACAAAGCAAAACAUCAUUUACUCUAAGAAAGCUUGGCCCUGAAAUUUAAUUUAAAUGUGCUAGAUACAUGCUUUGUAUUACUGGUCAUGACUAUGCUCUGUCAAAAUCCUUAUUUUAUUGACUGCCUCUCUCACUAAAUUCUUUUGAGAAAGUUCCGGGGUUUCAGCCUGCAUCUUUUCAAAGAUUCAAACACUGCUCAGAGCCAAUUUGUUUCCCAGAAUGGAAGGGACUGCUUAUCUCCAGGAAAGGAACUUUGCCCUGUGGUGCUGUUCUGGUCAGAUAAGCAGACAGCUGCUGAUUGGAUAGGACAAGCUUGGCUGUCUUCUCUCCUGGACUAAAAUGAGCAGCAGGAACAGAGCCACUUGAUGGAGCAGGGAGCCAUAGCCAAAACUGAUAGUAGGGAUGUUUGGGG